UACGUAGGUGGCAAGCGUUGUCCGGAAUUAUUGGGCGUAAAGCGCGCGCAGGCGGUCCUUUAAGUCUGAUGUGAAAGCCCUCGGCUCAACCGAGGAGGGUCAUUGGAAACUGGAGGACUUGAGUGCAGAAGAGGAAAGUGGAAUUCCAAGUGUAGCGGUGAAAUGCGUAGAGAUUUGGAGGAACACCAGUGGCGAAGGCGACUUUCUGGUCGUGUAACUGACGCUGAGGCGCGAAAGCGUGGGGAGCAAACAGG
rnacentral:rRNA from 1 species